rnacentral:rRNA from 1 species
UACGUAGGGGGCAAGCGUUGUCCGGAAUCAUUGGGCGUAAAGCGCGUGUAGGCGGCCAGGUAAGUCCGUUCUGAAAGCCCGGGGCUCAACCCCGGGAGGCGGAUGGAUACUGCUUGGCUCGAGUCCGGAAGAGGCGAGUGGAAUUCCCGGUGUAGCGGUGAAAUGCGCAGAUAUCGGGAGGAACACCAAUGGCGAAGGCGACUCACUGGCCCGUUACUGACGCUGAGGCGCGAAAGCGUGGGGAGCAAACAGG